GCCUAAUACAUGCAAGUCGAGCGAAUGGAUUAAGAGCUUGCUCUUAUGAAGUUAGCGGCGGACGGGUGAGUAACACGUGGGUAACCUGCCCAUAAGACUGGGAUAACUCCGGGAAACCGGGGCUAAUACCGGAUAACAUUUUGAACCGCAUGGUUCGAAAUUGAAAGGCGGCUUCGGCUGUCACUUAUGGAUGGACCCGCGUCGCAUUAGCUAGUUGGUGAGGUAACGGCUCACCAAGGCAACGAUGCGUAGCCGACCUGAGAGGGUGAUCGGCCACACUGGGACUGAGACACGGCCCAGACUCCUACGGGAGGCAGCAGUAGGGAAUCUUCCGCAAUGGACGAAAGUCUGACGGAGCAACGCCGCGUGAGUGAUGAAGGCUUUCGGGUCGUAAAACUCUGUUGUUAGGGAAGAACAAGUGCUAGUUGAAUAAGCUGGCACCUUGACGGUACCUAACCAGAAAGCCACGGCUAACUACGUGCCAGCAGCCGCGGUAAUACGUAGGUGGCAAGCGUUAUCCGGAAUUAUUGGGCGUAAAGCGCGCGCAGGUGGUUUCUUAAGUCUGAUGUGAAAGCCCACGGCUCAACCGUGGAGGGUCAUUGGAAACUGGGAGACUUGAGUGCAGAAGAGGAAAGUGGAAUUCCAUGUGUAGCGGUGAAAUGCGUAGAGAUAUGGAGGAACACCAGUGGCGAAGGCGACUUUCUGGUCUGUAACUGACACUGAGGCGCGAAAGCGUGGGGAGCAAACAGGAUUAGAU
rnacentral:rRNA from 1 species